CGGGGUAAAAAAAGGAGAGUUAAGCGCUGCACACGCGCGCUCUGCCCAUGGCUUCGAAAAAAGGGGAAAGCAGACCCAAUCUCCAAGGGCGACGUUUUUAUUCCUGACAGGAUUCACACCUUGGCUUGGACAGAAAUUGAAGAGAUGGGGUGGGUUUCACCUGCUGAGUUUCUGUGCCGCACCUGGUUUUUAAGAGAACCUUUCAGGUGUGUGACGUUUUCUGCACACACACCCCAAAGUAGGAAACGGUCUUUAUCUGAUGGAAUCAGAUUCUGUUUUUACUUUCUGUGGCACAGCCAGAAGUUUAACAGUUUACAGCGCACCUCCGUUUAUUAUCCACACCUGUUGAAUUUCUGCCUGCUGCCCACUUUGAAAGGCACGAGGCUUCCCAGUGGAAGCCCUGCGGACUUCAACCAUUUUCACCCUCGUAUAAAACCAUUGCUUCAAGUAUCAAACAUGGAUCCUCCUGGCGCUGCGAUCCUGUACGUGCCCACCUGAAAGUGCGCUUGCUGGGCUCCUUUGGCAGGAAGGGCGAGAUGCAGAUUUAAAUAUUGCUCCGUGUUUGGAUAUGGCCGUCAGUAUAUUUGCACACAUAGUGUGCAACUGUGCUGGGAAUCCUUUGAACGCUUCCUUCGCCCAGUUUAGAUUAUGCACAGCACCCAAGAAUCAACACUCUUGUCAAGAAGCAAGUCAUCCAGUUCCAUGAUGCUGUUGUUACAUGACAGUUGUGAAUAGUCCUCUUUUAUGCAGUGAUCGGAGAUGACUCCAUGUCUGCAAAGCUUUCUGUUUUCCUGAUCUGAGAAAGAGCAGCCACAAGAAGGAAUAAGAAUAGGAUGCAUUGUUUAUAAAUCUAUAUUAGCUACUAGGUCUCAGGAUAUCUCCUGAAGGUAUAUGAGGCUUCCACCUUGCUGGAGCUAAGCAGGUCUGGGUUUGGGCAUUUGUGUGUUGCUUUGAAAAUGCUAAUAACAGAUAUUGGGCUGUCACUGUUCGCAGAAAUCUUAGCUCAGCAUAGGAGCUUUCAUUCAGGAAUUGAUCCAUCCAUCAGUUAAAUCCACAGAUUUGCAUAUGAAUAAAAUACAUUUGAGAUAAA